rnacentral:rRNA from 1 species
UACGAAGGGUGCAAGCGUUAAUCGGAAUUACUGGGCGUAAAGCGUGCGUAGGCGGUUUGUUAAGUCUGCUGUGAAAUCCCCGGGCUCAACCUGGGAAUUGCAGUGGAUACUGGCAAGCUAGAGUGCGGUAGAGGAUGGUGGAAUUCCCGGUGUAGCGGUGAAAUGCGUAGAGAUCGGGAGGAACACCCGUGGCGAAGGCGGCCAUCUGGACCAGCACUGACGCUGAGGCACGAAAGCGUGGGGAGCAAACAGG